rnacentral:rRNA from 1 species
CCUACGGGUGGCAGCAGUGGGGAAUAUUGCACAAUGGGGGAAACCCUGAUGCAGCGACGCCGCGUGAGUGAAGACGUACCUCUGUAUUUUAAGCUCCUUCAGCAGGGAAGAAAAUGACGGUACCUGAUUAAGAAGCCCCGGCUAACUCCGUGCCAGCCGCCGCGGUAAUACGUAGGGGGCCAGCGUUAUCCGGAUUUACUGGGGGUAAAGGGAGCGUAGACGGCAGCGUAAGUCUGAAGUGAAAUGCCGGUGCUUAACCCCGGAACUGCUAUGGAAACUGUGCAGCUAGAGUGCAGGAGAGGUAAGUGGAAUUCCUAGUGUAGCGGUGAAAUGCGUAGAUAUUAGGAAGAACACCAGUGGCGAAGGCGGCUUACUGGACUGUAACUGACGUUGAGGCUCGAAAGCGUGGGGAGCAAACAGGAUUAGAUACCCGAGUAGUC